rnacentral:lncRNA from 1 species
CUCUGGGUGACUUUACAGAAGGGAGAAGACUGGCUACUUGGGAGAACAAUAACUGCCUGUGUUUCAAACAUAAACUUGAUAUCCUCCCUUUAGCCUUCAUACACGUAAAUGGAUAUACUGUCUGUGUAUUUGCAUUUGGCAUAGCAAUGGUCACAAUUUAAGCACGCCAAACAUGGAUCCAAAAUGUAUUAAAAUGACAAAGCUAAUGAACUAGCCAGGAGGGUUCCACAAUGGCACCGGCCAGCUCCACGGUUCACGUGGCAGAAGAGCUCCCAAGAAGGGCUGCCACCAGUGUCUGUGGCUGAAGCUGCCCCCCACCUCAACGGGAGAUGCUCCAAGACCAGCAGUGCAUGUCUCCCAUUCAGCUGUCAGCAAGAAGAUGGUGUAGGAGUCAGGGGAAAUAAGCUUGGGCAAAGAGAAAUUCAGCUGUGAUGCAGGUCUGCUGAAACCACAGCCAGCCUGGCGGAGAGCUCUUGGAUGACGAUGGUGAUGACAUAUGAAGGCAAACACACUGCAUACAAGAAUUAACACAAUUAAAAGGGAAAAUGGGUUGGUUGCAUAGAGUCCUUAUCACCUCUCACCCACCAAAAAUAUGCUAGGUAACUAAAAGGACAAAUAAUUAAUAGGAAAUUUUUAAAAACAGUAGUAAAAUGAGUCAUAAGCAUAAUGCAGUUUGCAUCAGUUACACAACAGUCUCAUAGAGACCAAAUAUAAAGCGUGUGCAGACAAGAGGAUAAAAGGAGACCUAAGAAAGAUGGUGAUACUUGAAAAAGGGGGGGAAAAAACCCAAAUGUUUGUUCAUCCAUGUAAAAUGGAUUUAAGGUAUAACAAUAACAUAUAUAUUUGGUAGGCAGUUCAUGUGAUAAAGUGAAAGACUGUAAAUAAAGGAAAAGGGAUUAGCCAAUAACUUCACAUUUUAAAAAUCAUAAACUGGACUCAAAUGAUACUAGAUGCAGAGUUUAAUAAUUGAAAAUUAUUGAUUUUUUAAACCUGUAUUGACCUAAAGGAAUCCUUUAACAUGAACUAUUUUUGUAC